GAUGAAGAACGCAGCGAAAUGCGAUACGUAAUGUGAAUUGCAGAUUUCAGUGAAUCAUCGAAUCUUUGAACGCACAUUGCGCCCGCCAGUAUUCUGGCGGGCAUGCCUGUCCGAGCGUCAUUUCAACCCUCGAACCCCUCCGGGGGGUCGGCGUUGGGGACCUCGGGAGCCCCUAAGACGGGAUCCCGGCCCCGAAAUACAGUGGCGGUCUCGCCGCAGCCUCUCCUGCGCAGUAGUUUGCACAACUCGCACCGGGAGCGCGGCGCGUCCACGUCCGUAAAACACCCAACUUCUGAAAUGUUGACCUCGGAUCAGGUAGGAAUACCCGCUGAACUUAAGCAUAUCAAUAAGCGGAGGA
rnacentral:misc_RNA from 1 species